rnacentral:tRNA from 1 species
GAAGGUAUAGCUUAAGUGGUAGAGCGCAUGCUUAGAAUGCAUGAAGUCCUGGGUUCAAUCCCCCGUACCUCCU